UACGAGGGGGGCAAAUGUUGUUCGGAAUCACUGGGCGUAAAGGGAGCGUAGGCGGGUUUUUAAGUCAGGUGUUUAAUCCCGGGGCCCAACCCCGGACCGGCACUUGAAACUGGGAAUCUUGAAUAGGGGAGAGGUCAGUGGAAUUGGAGGUGUAGCGGUGGAAUGCGUAGAGAUCUCCAAGAACACCAGUUGCGAAGGCGGCUGACUGGACCGAUAUUGACGCUGAGGCUCGAGAGCAUGGGGAGCAAACAGG
rnacentral:rRNA from 1 species